UUCAUUAAGUUCAUGAUCGGAACAUAUGCAGUUUCAGGUAUAUUUUUCCACUAGAGUCGCAGAAGUAGAUUAUUGAUGGUCACAACUAUCUUGGUAUAACUUGUUUCUAGUCUUGUAGGUUGCACAUGGACUUGAACAUGUUAAUGUCCUUUGCUUUCAGGUAAAUUUAAUGCUCUUGUUCCUAUCGUUGACAUUUCGCGUCUGGAUUUUAGUUAAUAUAUAUGUGUGUUUCCACAGGGAAUAAUAAGCUUGCAAAAAUAUAACAAGAGAAGAGAGUUGUCAUCAAAUAAGGUACUAUUGUUUAAACUCUUCUUGACCCACUAAUUAGUACGUGAGAGAAAUCGAGGUAAACUAAACAGAAGUUUAUGAGUUUGUACAUUUAUUUUCUUGAACCUAUAAGCAGUGCCAAAGCAAGAAUCGUUUGAAGAACUUGCAUCUCUAAAUUAUACAAUCAACAAGCUGGCCAUGAGUCGCGCUAAGCCUUUGCAUCCCACUUGUAAGUUAAAAUUCAUCUAAGUUAUUCGUUUAUUCAAUUUUCCUAAUGUCGGUACUGGUGUGUCCUCUUUUCCGGUUAAUCCCUGAAAACAAGACAUGUAGUUACAGAGAGCUGCCAAGAACUGGAGCGAUUCAAAAGAACUGUAAGUUAUCUUCUAGUUUUAUAAGUUUAAUUAUUUUCCCAGGUAUGUCUUCAAUAUUUUUUUCGGUUUAGUAUGUCGAUUUAUCUCUUAUAACUUGAAGUUAUCGCCUCUUCUGUUCUUACAUAUUAUCAUAAUUCAUUACUAAUAGACUUUUCAAAUUUCUAUAGUGAGUGAGCAGGUACGUACCAGAAAAAUCAGAGAUUACACUAUGUACGGAAACGAAGAGAAUAUAUUUAUGAUUCCUUGAAUAGCACGAUCUAGGUUGAUCUCUUGAAUCUCCCAACACAUUGUAUACAUGUAUGCUUAGAUUCUUACAUUCAUGCAUGUUUGCUUCCUUGAUUCGUUGCUUGAUUCUUUACUUACAUCAUCAACUUGUUCACUUGCUUGCUAUCUUCUUUGUUUCUUUUUCUUAUUCAUUGCUUAACUUGCUUGCUUGUUUCUUUCACUACUUGCUUACAUGCAUUUACAUGCUUAACUCGUAUGAUUGAUGCUUUUUCUGUUUCUUUGUUUCUUGCUUACUCAAUUGCUCCAUUCAUUGCUUAACUUGUUUGCUUGCUUCCCUUUUUGUAUCUUUGAUUGUUUGUUUCCUUACAUGCUUUUAAGUUAACGUCUUUACAUAUUUUCUUCUUUGAUUCUUUGAUCUUUUGUUUACUCAAUUGCUUCAUUCGUUGCUUAACUUGUUUGUAUGUUUCCUUACUUGUUUCAUUGUUUGCUUGCUUAACUUGUUUUCUCACUUUCUCUUUGCUUCUUCCUUUCAUUCUUUGCUUCAUUGCUUGAUUCUUUACAAAAUGUUUAAUCUGUUCACUUAGAAAACUUGCUUGUUGUAACAUCCCUGUCUCGGGAUUCUAAAAGAGCUGAUUUGUUUUACGAAAAACUAGAUCAUGGUCGAGAAAAACCGAUAAAUAAGUUAACCCAAGGAAGAAAGGAAAUGUUUAAGUCAUGAAAAUGGUAGAUGACUUAGAUGAUUUCGGGAUAAUCUAGUGAUCAUGGGAAAAUGAUCACGGGAAGAUUUGGAAUGGCAAAGUCAUAGCCGAGAAGUAGACCGAAAGACUUAGCCGGAAUGAACGAGAAAGAAUAAUAUAGUGAGACUAUGAAUAUAUUUGACAGUCUAUAAUGAAUUUGAUAAAAAAAAAAAAAACAAACUGAAAUUUACCUAGUUUGACCCAAAUCUUGGAAAAAAUAACUAGAUUAACACCUAAAUAUUGUGGUUUACUAGAAUAACACAAUUUUUUUUGUUAAAAGACCAAAUACCCAUUUUAUUUUCAGUUAUAUUAAAAUAAACUAAUUAACAUAUAAUAAUUAAAUUAAAUAAAAAAUUAGA
rnacentral:lncRNA from 1 species